CAUCUGACAGAUGGUCCCACACCACCAGGCUCUGGGACAGCUUCAUCCCUUAGGCUGUAAGACUGACUUAAUUUUAGUUUUAGCCUUUUUAUCUUUUACUUUGGUGACUUCAUGACAUGUUUGUUUCAUUCUCCUCGUGUUUUAAAUGUGUUUAUCUUUAUUGUCCAGCACUUUGUAACUGUGUUUUGAAAGAUGAUAUAUAGAUGAAGUUAAGCAGUGGAAGUGCAGUGCAAAAAUAAAACAAGGUUUAGAUACAUUAUUUAUCCGUAGGAUAUGUGCGUAUUAUAACAGACCAAUUAAAUAACACCUGUAAUCACUGUCACACCUGUUCACAUCUGCUGAUUACGGGGUCACCUGUGGACUAACAGUAUGCUGCAUUACAACCAGGGAGGAAUGGCCACCUUAGCAACAGCUACUGCUAGCUAGCUUCUGUUCCCACAGAAAUGUUUUUCUGCAGUAUGUGUGAUGAAACGAGAAACUCUGCAGCUGAGGCCACUGGUAUACUGAAUACACGAUUCUGGAUCCUUAGUGUUGGAGGGGAUAUUUGGAGUUUCUUCAAGUGUCUGAGGUGGAACAGUAUGCAACCCCCAGGUCAGGCUGCCAGUAACGUAGACACCAUGGGACUUGAAGCUAUCCACCCUCUACACUGAGGCCCUGUUGACAUUAAGGCCCUUGCUUCUUCCAAAAGUCAACUAUCAGCUCCUGACUUG